rnacentral:rRNA from 1 species
AUACGGAGGGUGCGAGCGUUGUUCGGAAUUAUUGGGCGUAAAGCGCGUGUAGGCGGUCUUUUAAGUCUGAUGUGAAAGCCCCGGGCUCAACCCGGGAAGUGCAUUGGAUACUGGGAGACUUGAAUACGGGAGAGGGCAGUGGAAUUCCUGGUGUAGGAGUGAAAUCCGUAGAUAUCAGGAGGAACACCGGUGGCGAAGGCGGCUGCCUGGACCGAUAUUGACGCUGAGACGCGAAAGCGUGGGUAGC